UACGGAGGGGACUAGCGUUGUUCGGAAUUACUGGGCGUAAAGCGCACGUAGGCGGAUUUGUAAGUCAGGGGUGAAAUCCCGAGGCUCAACCUCGGAACUGCCUCUGAUACUGGCGACCUUGAGUCCGGGAGAGGUGAGUGGAACUGCGAGUGUAGAGGUGAAAUUCGUAGAUAUUCGCAAGAACACCAGUGGCGAAGGCGGCUCACUGGCCCGGUACUGACGCUGAGGUGCGAAAGCGUGGGGAGCAAACAGG
rnacentral:rRNA from 1 species